rnacentral:rRNA from 1 species
UGGGGAAUAUUGCACAAUGGGCGCAAGCCUGAUGCAGCCAUGCCGCGUGUGUGAAGAAGGCCUUCGGGUUGUAAAGCACUUUCAGCGAGGAGGAAGGUGGUGAGCUUAAUACGCUCAUCAAUUGACGUUACUCGCAGAAGAAGCACCGGCUAACUCCGUGCCAGCAGCCGCGGUAAUACGGAGGGUGCAAGCGUUAAUCGGAAUUACUGGGCGUAAAGCGCACGCAGGCGGUUUGUUAAGUCAGAUGUGAAAUCCCCGGGCUCAACCUGGGAACUGCAUUUGAAACUGGCAAGCUAGAGUCUCGUAGAGGGGGGUAGAAUUCCAGGUGUAGCGGUGAAAUGCGUAGAGAUCUGGAGGAAUACCGGUGGCGAAGGCGGCCCCCUGGACGAAGACUGACGCUCAGGUGCGAAAAGCGUGGGGAGCAAAACAGGAUUAGAUACCCUGGUAGUCCACGCUGUAAAACGAUGUCGAUUUUGGAGGUUGUGCCCUUGAGGCGUGGGNUUCC